ACGGCCUGUCAUCAGCGGCAACACUGACACAACACGGGUGCAUGUGCGCCCAUGUGCGAUUUGGUUCUGUAGUAUGUGGCUGUAUCUGGUGAUCGGCGGCUAGGCAGCGAAGUCUCCUCGGCAUUUUUUCUUCGCGCCCUUAGCUUUUCUUUCCUGGUCACUGUGCUUUUUUGGUUUUCUGUUACUGCGUUCACGCGCACCUUGCCAGAAGAAAUGAGCUGCUCCGACCCCACCCAAACGUCAACCCAACAGACGGCCCCGCCGCAACCACGAACAACGUGGGGCGAACGGGAGACGUGGGCUUUGAUAAGCCUUUGGGAAGAAUACCUGGAGCAGCUGAGAGGAGAGCGGAGGAACGCUGGAGUUUACGAGAGCAUUGUGCGACGCCUCGCCGCGCUCGGAAUCGUCCGAACCAGAAAGCAGGUGCAGAGCAAGAUUGAUAACCUCACCCAAAUGUACAGGAGUUGGGCAAAGAAACGGACAACAGGCUCUGCACCAGUGCCGUGGCUUUAUUUCACUGAAAUACACCGCUUUCUGGGGACGCUGCCAGCAAACGACCACUCUCUGGUAGAAGAGAGUACAGGGCACACAAACGCCACAGUUGAAGAGGCAAGUUUGUCGUGAUUCACUUGUACAAAUGCAUGCCUAUAAAUGUGCAUGAAGCAGACUCAGCAUGGUGUAGUUUUAAAUGCAUGACAAUGGACCAACUCGGCCAGUUUGCAAUUUCAUGCCUGAAAACGCAAACAAAACAAAUUGCCAGUCAAGACAGGAGAAGUGGUUCUCAAAUUUUUUUUAUUCGGAAGCAUGUAAAUUAUAUACAUCAAGUGAGUGCUGAUGAGGCAAAUGACAAAAAAAGAAAGCAUAGAAAGCAAAAUGAAAUAACAGCACGAUUCAAGUGCAGUCUAAUGAUGCAGUCGAAUUGCUUACACACUUGAAGCUUAAAAUGUUUCAGCAAUUUCCUUUGCACCCGUACCUUUAUUGGAAUAAAUAAAUGGUGUGCACUCAAAAGCUGGAACAAGGCCGCAUAACGAGCAAUGCACCUGCAUAUGCAGACCAAGAAUUCCCUUUAAAGCAUUGCAACGUGCAUGCAGGUAUACAAUAUGUAGUGCCCCAUCUUUUCAUGCAUAUUAUUGCAGGAUAGAAGACUGCUGUAAAUUGUGUUGAAAUUUCAUGCUUUCUGGGAAAACUGGAUGC
rnacentral:lncRNA from 1 species